AUGAACGCUGGCGGCGUGCCUAAUACCUGCAAGUCGCGCGAACAGACGAGGAGCUUGCUCCUCUGACGUUAGCGGCGGACGGGUGAGUAACACGUGGAUAGCCUACCUAUAAGACUGGGAUAACUUCGGGAAACCGGAGCUAAUACCGGAUAAUAUAUUGAACCGCAUGGUUCAAUAGUGAAAGACGGUUUUGCUGUCACUUAUAGAUGGAUCCGCGCCGCAUUAGCUAGUUGGUAAGGUAACGGCUUACCAAGGCAACGAUGCGUAGCCGACCUGAGAGGGUGAUCGGCCACACUGGAACUGAGACACGGUCCAGACUCCUACGGGAGGCAGCAGUAGGGAAUCUUCCGCAAUGGGCGAAAGCCUGACGGAGCAACGCCGCGUGAGUGAUGAAGGUCUUCGGAUCGUAAAACUCUGUUAUUAGGGAAGAACAAAUGUGUAAGUAACUAUGCACGUCUUGACGGUACCUAAUCAGAAAGCCACGGCUAACUACGUG
rnacentral:rRNA from 1 species